GACUUGCUCUGCUGCCUUAGGCAAAUCACCUCUGCAUGCCUCGUGUUGUGCCCAUGGGGAAAACAAAUAGCUAUUAGAAUAUCCAGCUUUGCCCUGCUCCUUUUAUAAACUGGUAAGAAGGAACGAUCUGGAAAGAAGCAUCCAUGCAUUUAGUUGUGUUCUAAGGUUCGAUCUGCCCUCUUGUCCCUGGCAGGAUGAGGGAAGGGCUGACUGUUGAUUCCUUCUUUUUGCAGAGCCCCUCCCCAGCAGGUGAGCCAUGAGGCUGGACAGCGCUUGUGCAAACUCCCCAGAGAAGAGGAGGGAUGUGAGCAAGGUGCAAAUUGGCUAGAUUUACUGUGCUACAGCGUGUUUAUGACAGUUCCUUCUACAGACACGCAGCAAAUUGGCUCUGCCAGUAACGCAUUGCUUCUCUUUCCUUCUGGAAAGGAUCGCUGUGCAGACAUCAACCACCCUUUGGGCCAUGAGCACAUGGUUCUGCAGUGGCUUCAGAAAAAGUAUUCCAUGGUUUGGAUGAACUAAGAUGUUCCUGAAGCCUGUGUGUUGCCAAAGAUGAACAGGAGUCCAGCAUGGCGGGGUUUUAAUUUAAAAGUAGCCUGAUUUA